CACGUAGGGGACGAGCGUUGUCCGGAUUCAUUGGGCGUAAAGCGCGCGUAGGCGGCUCGGAAAGUCGGUCGUGAAAUGCCGGGGCUCAACCCCGGGACUGCGUCCGAUACUCUCGAGCUGGAGGCAGGUAGGGGAGAUCGGAAUUCCUGGUGUAGCGGUGAAAUGCGCAGAUAUCAGGAGGAACACCGGUGGCGAAGGCGGUUCUCUGGGCCUGUACUGACGCUGAGGAACGAAAGCGUGGGGAGCGAACAGG
rnacentral:rRNA from 1 species